CAGGUCUGAAUGCAAGGCUGGGGCUGAGAGGCAGAACCGACGCCAACAGGACCCCCUGGACAUUGGUUGGUCAAUCACCUGCAAGACGAAGGAGAUGAGGAUGCUUUUGGCCUGGGUGCAAACACUCCUCAUUAGCAACAUGCUCCUAGAAGCUUAUGGAUCUGGAGGCUGCUUCUGGGACAAGGGCCACCUGUACCGGGCGGACCAGCCCUCCCCAGCGCCGGGCCUUCGAUGUCUCAACUGGCUGGAGGCGCAGAACGGCCUGACUUCUGACCCUGAGUCCGACGCCGGCAACCACAGCUAUUGCCGGAACCCGGACCAGGACCCUCGCGGGCCCUGGUGCUACGUCAAGGGCGAAGCCGGCGCUCCCAAGAAGUGGCCUUGCGAGGACCUGCACUGCCCAGAGACCACCAUCCAGUCCCCUUCAACCUCCACAACAGAAACUGAGGAAGCGUCUGAAGUGCCAAGUGGAGAUGAGGUGCAGGUGUUCGCUCCUGCCAACGCCCUGCCUGCCCGGAGUGAGGCAGCAGCUGUGCAGCCAGUGAUUGGGAUCAGCCAGCGGGUGCGGGUGAACUCCAAGGAGAAAAAAGACCUGGGAACCCUGGGCUAUGUGCUGGGCAUUACCAUGAUGGUGAUCAUCAUCGCCAUUGGAGCUGGCAUCGUCUUGGGCUACACCUACAAGAGUGCAACUUGGAAGGUCAUACAAGAUAAAGACUGAAGAGCAGCCAGUGGACUGACCAAUGUGGCUAGCCCCUGCAUAGGCAUUACAAAUCACUUCUCAAAAGAGAAAGCUCAGAGUAUGUUCAUGAUCCCAAGAAAGAAGACCUUCAAGAGUUCCCAGGAGCCUUCAGGAUGAACAUGAAGCAGUGGCUGGCAAAAACAGAAGGACAGACCCACUUACCGGAAGCAAGAGCUGUGCCAGGCUUCGUUGACAGUCCUGUACCACCUCUGGCUUGGAGCAACGUGGUCCCCACAGCCCCGACACCUCCAGGCAUCUUCACCUACACACAAAACCAGGGGAUUCAGAGGCCCAAAGUAGCAGGGGGCACAGGGGUGGGAUUCCUACCAUGCAGAAUAAGUGAGUCAACAGACAUAUUGAAAGGGUGGUCCAGUGCUCUGCUAAAUACACAAUCCCCUCCUCCACGAGAUCUUGGGUAAGCACUUAUCCAGCUUGCUCAUCUCCCUAGAGACAGAGAAUUCAUGACUUCAAAAGUAGGUCUCAUUCCAUUUUUUAGUGAUGGUUCUGAUUAUUCCUCUUUCCACGAAACCUGCCUUUUCCUAGAACUUUUGGCCCUUGUUUAUUAUAGCUCUGAGUGAUGAAAUGAACAAGGUCUCUUUCUUUUGACUUCCUAUGACUGUUCCUAAUCAGCACCCACAAAAUCUUCUCUGGGUUAAACAUGUUAUUGCCUUAUCCUAUUCCGUUCCAUCACUGAGUUCAGGACCUCACUCAUUCAACCAACAUCAUAGGUCGGUCCUCUUGUUGAUCCUCUCCAAGCUCUAUGUUGGAGACUGCUGGAUAACAUCAUCUCUGUUCUUUAAAGAGCAAAUCCACUGAAAAAGAACCCUUCUUCACUGUUAUAAUUUUUCCCUUAGAAGAAACAAAGUGCUAUUUUAGUUGGGAGAAAGAAAUUAUGGGUAUAGAAAGGAAAAACAUGUUCCUCCUAAAUACCAAGCCUUUUACUAGCUGCUUUCACAGACCCAAUUACAUUUAAUUCUCAAAACAAUACUGUGAAACAGGUAUUAAACUCAUUUAAUGGUUGGAAGAACUGAAACCUAGGGCUAAGGGGUAACAGGCCAAACAGCAGGUUUAGCAUUCCAACUCAGGCCCAACUCAUCCUAAAGCCCAUAUUCUUUCCACUCCACCAUAUUAAUUUCUGCUCAUUCCACUUAGGGGAGUCAGAAAAAUCUUUGUAAAGGAAGCUAAUACUUGAGCUAAACCUUGAAGGAUGGAGUAGAUUUGCCAGAGGCUGAGAAAGAAUGGGGAAGGGCUGUAUAGGCUGAGAGAUUGCAUGGGCAAUAACACAGAGUGAAUCCAUGUCCCUCCUAAAGGAACAAAACGCAAUACUCCUGCUGUGGCUCAGAUGCCAACUUCUUGAAAUAAAGAAGGCAGCUGAGAUCAAGCUGUGGUACCUGACUCAGCCCUAGAAAGCAGGACAAGGUUGUUACAAGACUCCCUUGUACACUCCAUGUAUGCAGCUUUGUUCUCUCUGGGUAACUCCAGACUGCCACAGGCACGGUGACAGUCACUGAACCCUGUUUCACAGGCACAGGGGUCAUGAAUAAACAAUGCACGGCUCCAGACACUUCAAGAUUGCUCAGCAGCAUUCUGGGGCAACCAGGACACACAGACAGUUCUCCUUACAACCCUCCAGAGAAGAGUUAAACAAGCUGGCAGAAGGCUUUAAAGCCUUGACCCACCUGCUCCUCUUCCCCAGUUCCAUAGUGAUAGGACAUAUAUGCCCAUCACCACCUGAAUCUAAAAUUCUCAGAUUUUCAGGGCGCCUGGGUGGCUCAGUCGGUUAAGCAUCCAACUUCAGCUCAGGUCAUGAUCUCACAGUUUGAGAA